GACGAACGCUGGCGGCGUGCUUAACACAUGCAAGUCGAACGGAAAGGCCCUGCUUUUGUGGGGUGCUCGAGUGGCGAACGGGUGAGUAACACGUGAGUAACCUGCCCUUGACUUUGGGAUAACUUCAGGAAACUGGGGCUAAUACCGGAUAGGAGCUCCUGCUGCAUGGUGGGGGUUGGAAAGUUUCGGCGGUUGGGGAUGGACUCGCGGCUUAUCAGCUUGUUGGUGGGGUAGUGGCUUACCAAGGCUUUGACGGGUAGCCGGCCUGGGAGGGUGGCCGGCCUCAUUGGGACUGAGAUACGGCCCAGACUCCUUCGGGAGGCAGCAGUGGGGAAUAUUGCACAAUGGGCGGAAGCCUGAUGCAGCAACGCCGCGUGCGGGAUGACGGCCUUCGGGUUGUAAACCGCUUUCGCCUGUGACGAAGCGUGAGUGACGGUAAUGGGUAAAGAAGCACCGGCUAACUACGUG
rnacentral:rRNA from 1 species